AAAGUCGUAACAAGGUUUCCGUAGGUGAACCUGCGGAAGGAUCAUUACCGAGAAAGGGUUCCUUUUUGGGCCCGACCUCCAACCCAUUGUUUACCAUACCUAUGUUGCCUCGGCGGGCCGUCGGGUGCCUCUUACGGGGCCCCGCCGUCGGCCUUUGGGCUUUCGAGCGCCCGCCGGUGGGAUUCAUAAACUCUUUUAUAAACCAGUUUUCUGAGCGAGAAUUUAAUAGCAUUAAAACUUUUAACAACGGAUCUCUUGGUUCUG
rnacentral:misc_RNA from 1 species